GCAGUGAGGGGGCAGUGCCGCUAGGGUGGCCCCACUUGGCCCGAGGGGCAGGGAGUAGCCUCAGCAGACCUGCCUGUGACGGCACAGGGGCCUGAAAGCCUGCUGUGUUUGAAUCCAUGAAGUGUCAUACUUCAUCGGGAGGCAGAACCCCAGGCUGAAAGCAGGUCUGGGGACACCGGACAGGUGCAGGGCACAGGACUGGCCGUGUGACCCUGGGCAGGUCCUCCCCUCUCUGGAUCUCAGCCCCUGGGCCCUGAGAGGAUUGUCCUGGUGAUUAUCUGGGGCUGUGUUUUACAGAAUAUUUGCAGGUUAAGGAGAACGUUUUUCAGGACUUCACUUCAGACAUCUUAGCCAAGCAUCCCACUGUGACACAGACCCUCUCAGCUGGGGGAGUGGGGACAUGACCCACCAGAACAGGACUCUUCCCUAUGUCCUCCUCCCCUCCCCCUUGUCCCCCUUCCUCCUCCCUCCCCCUUCUCCCUCUUCCUCCUCCCUCCUCCCCCUUUCUCCUCACUCCUCCUCCUCUCUCUGCCUCCUCCCUCUGCCCCUCCCUCCUCCCUCUCCCUCCUCCCUCUCCCUCUCCCUCUCCCUCCUCCUCCCUCUGCCCCCUCCCUCCUCCCCUCCCUCUUCCCCUUCCUCCUCCCUCUGCCCCCUCCCUCCUCCCUCUCCCUCCUCCCCUCCCCCUUCUCCCUCCUCCCCCUUUCUCCUCCCUCCUCCUCCCCCUUCCUCCUCCCUCCUCCUCCUCCCUCUGCCCCCUCCCUCCUCCCCUUCCUCCUCCUCCCUCUCCCUCCUCCCUCUCCCUCCUCCCUCUCCCUCCUCCCUCUGCCCCCUCCCUCCUCCCCUCCCUCUUCCCCUUCCUCCUCCCUCCUCCUCCCUCUGCCCCCUCCCUCCUCCCUCUGCCCCCUCCCUCCUCCCCUCCCUCCUCCCCCUUCCUCCUCCCCUCCCCCUUCCUCCUCCUCCCUCUCCCUCCUCCCCCUUCUCCCUCCUCCCUCUCCCUCUCCCUCCUCCCCCUUCCUCCUCCUCCCCCUUCCUCCUCCCUCUCCCUCCUCCCUCUGCCCCCUCCCUCCUCCUCCCUCCUCCCCUUCCUCCUCCCCUCCCCCUUCUCCCUCCUCCCCUUCCUCCUCCCUCCUUCUCACCCUCCUCCCCUUCCUCCUCCUCCCUCCUCCUCCCUCUGCCCCCUCCCUCCUCCCUCUGCCCCCUCCCUCCUCCUCCCUCCUCCCCUUCCUCCUCCCUCCUCCUCCCUCUCCCUCCUCCCUCUCCCUCCUCCCCUUUCCCUUCCUCCUCCCUCCUCCCCUCCCCUCUACUCUCUUUCUCCCUCUUUCCCCCUCCUCCCCUCCCUCCUCCCCUCCCUCCUCCCCUUUCCCUUCCUCCUCCUUCAUUAUUUGGAAGCCACCUUCCUAGGGAUUGGAGCUACCUUGGGAAGACCCUGGGGACCGGAGCCUCGGGCAGCAGCCACAGCUCCCGGAUUAUGGGGGGCCCUGUGCAGGGAUGGCGCUGGGGCCUGGGCGGAGACUCUGUUUACCUAAUACGGGCUGUGGGGGGGUUGGCAAACAGCCCUUGGCCGCGGGCCUGCACCGUCCGUCUGUCUGCCUGGGUGGCGUCUGUACCCCCUCAGCCCUGCAUACCUUCCCUCCC
ensembl:lncRNA